UGGGGAAUUUUGGACAAUGGGGGAAACCCUGAUCCAGCCAUCCCGCGUGUGCGAUGAAGGCCUUCGGGUUGUAAAGCACUUUUGGCAGGAAAGAAACGUCGCGGGUUAAUACCCCGCGAAACUGACGGUACCUGCAGAAUAAGCACCGGCUAACUACGUGCCAGCAGCCGCGGUAAUACGUAGGGUGCAAGCGUUAAUCGGAAUUACUGGGCGUAAAGCGUGCGCAGGCGGUUCGGAAAGAAAGAUGUGAAAUCCCAGAGCUUAACUUUGGAACUGCAUUUUUAACUACCGGGCUAGAGUGUGUCAGAGGGAGGUGGAAUUCCGCGUGUAGCAGUGAAAUGCGUAGAUAUGCGGAGGAACACCGAUGGCGAAGGCAGCCUCCUGGGAUAACACUGACGCUCAUGCACGAAAGCGUGGGGAGCAAACAGGAUUAGAUACCCUGGUAGUCCACGCCCUAAACGAUGUCAACUAGCUGUUGGGGCCUUCGGGCCUUGGUAGCGCAGCUAACGCGUGAAGUUGACCGCCUGGGGGAGUACGGUCGCAAGAUUAAAACUUAAAUGAAUUGACGGGGGUCAUAGCUGUUUCCC
rnacentral:rRNA from 1 species